ACUAGGAGGAAAACAUACCACACAGUCUGAGAAUACUGUGUUUAGGAAGGUUUGACAACAGAGGGAAAAAAGCCUGUUUUAGGACUCUCAGGCUGGGAGGUAGCUGUUUUCGUGGGGCUACUGAAGUCUGAAAUGACCUCUUUUUAUAUCUUGAAGAACUAAAUCGACUGCAAAAAGGUUACAUCGUGCCUUUUCUCUUCCACAUGACGGAGAUCUUCAAAGUAAGCAUCUUUCAAAGCAGUGACAAGCAAAAUACAGCUGGAAGAUCAGUAACUCUCUGUUAAGCAGCUUUGCUUGCUGUCAUUGUUGACUGCCAGGGGGUGGUGAUCCAUGUCAGUCACUAAAAUGACACCUUGGCAAGACUGCUGUCUGCUCCUGGAGUUUUUGUGUAUGGAAACAAUUUUAAGGUUCCCAGGCAGGAAACUCAAAAGAGAGGUCAGAGAAGGAUGAGAAUCCUCAUGCUAUUUGGCAUCUUAUUGUAAGACGUGGUGGAAUGUGUUCAGCAAGUAAAUUUGGCAGAAUUGAAGAGUAAUGGAUUGGCAUAUCAAAAUGCAUAUACAAAAAAUUAAUCAAGGCAAACAACUUCAUUCAUAGUGUUACAGUAAACAAGUUUUAGUAUAGGAUUUUAAAAGUCUUAGAUUCAAGUUGUGGCUUCACUAUUUCCAGGAGCAUGACUAGUUUGAUUUAUGCACCCACUCUGAACUUUAGUUUUCUUGUCUGUAAUAUAGAAACAAUAUCUGCUGUACUUGUCAUAUGUGGUUGUUGUAAGAUUAAAUUAAAUUAUAAAUUAUAAAAGUGAAU